AGUGGGAUGGCUGAGAAUAACAAGUAGGCGAUAGGCUGUAAAUCUAUUUAGGGGCAUUUACGUCGCUCUUCCACUA
rnacentral:tRNA from 1 species